rnacentral:rRNA from 1 species
UACGGGGGGUGCGAGCGUUGUCCGGAAUCACUGGGCGUAAAGGGCGCGUAGGUGGCUUUGUAAGUUUGCGGUGAAAGCCCGGGGCUCAACCCCGGGUCUGCCGUGGAUACUGCAAGGCUUGAGUACUGUAGAGGCAGGUAGAAUAUCGGGUGUAGCGGUGGAAUGCGUAGAUAUCAGGAAGAACACCGAUGGCGAAGGCAGAUCUCUGGGCCGUAACUGACGCUGAGGAGCGAAAGCAUGGGGAGCGAACAGG